GAUGAACGCUGACAGAAUGCUUAACACAUGCAAGUCAACUUGAACUUCGGUUUGGGUGGCGGCCGGGUGAGUAACGCGUAAAGAACUUGCCUCACAGAUAGGGACAACAUUUGGAAACGAAUGCUAAUACCUGAUAUUAUGAUUUUAGGGCAUCCUAGGAUUAUGAAAGCUAUAUGCGCUGUGAGAGAGCUUUGCGUCCCAUUAGCUAGUUGGAGAGGUAACGGCUCACCAAGGCGAUGAUGGGUAGCCGGCCUGGGAGGGUGAUCGGCCACAAGGGGACUGAGACACGGCCCUUACGCCUACGGGAGGCAGCAGUGGGGAAUAUUAGACAAUGGACCAAGAGUCUGAUCCAGCAAUUCUGUGUGCACGAUGAAGUUUUUCGGAAUGUAAAGUGCUUUCAGUUGGGAAGAAAAAAAUGACGGUACCAACAGAAGAAGUGACGGCUAAAUACGUG
rnacentral:rRNA from 1 species